GCGCCGCGCUCCCCCGCCGCUCCCCGCUCCGUCGGCGGCAGCCUCCUUGGCGGCGAUUUCCCCCCCCCCCCCCCCUCCGCUUUCCACCGUUCCGUGCGUGCUUCAGUCACCGCCCCGGCGCCGGAACCGCCGGCGACGUCAUCACCCGCCGCGGCGGCGCCCUGAGGCCGCUUCCCUCCUCUCCGCCCGCCCUCGGCCGGGGAUGGCGGCCAUCUCCUCGUCCCCGCCCCGCCGGGCUGCUGCUCUGUGGAACGGAGGGCAGGGGGACAGCCGGGGAGGGGGAGGUCUGGGGGUCGCCGUCGGAGAGAGAAGGUGGUUGGGCAGGGCGGCUGCUAGGCGGCCGCUCUGGACCGGUCGAGUUGCUGCGUCAAACGAAAUGGCAGGAGAGGGCAAGUUUCCUGUGAGCAUCUCAACUGCUGUGGCCUUGUGAGUAAAGAAAAUAAAGAAAAUCCAGACAGACUCAGAAUUUAACAAGAGCAGUGCUAGCCUGGAGGAACUGCUUAGAGUUACAGCAGCCCGGUUCAUCAAGGGACAGCACCUCUAUAUGUGCAGAAGGUAAAGCAUUUACAUGAAUGCUAACACUCAAACCCACCCAGUAUGAAGGCCCAUUUGGGAUUGACUUCUGCCUACAUUUGGCAUGGUAAACCAGAAAACUGAAAAUUCAUACUACUCCCAGUAGGAAUAAUACAGAGUUGUGGUAGAACUGCCCACUUGAGAAAAAAAAACAGAGUAGAAAAGGGAACCUUAAGGACUAAGGAAGCAUUACAAGACUUCGCUCUAAGCUAUACCAGGUGGUUACUUGCUACCAGAAGCAAUGAGUUGCAAGGCAGAGCACGACCUCCAGCAACGCACUGAGAAUAGUCGUGUGGGUUGACAUCCAGCCACCGGCAAGUCAAAUUCAUUAAAAGUAAACCCUAGUGUUUCCCACUGUGGAACUACAUCACUUUGCACUCAGUAAG